rnacentral:misc_RNA from 1 species
UACGGUGAUUCAGAAACCAACAAAACAGGACCACCGUCCUAUUUUAUUAUUCCAUGCUAAUGUAUUCAGACGUAAGCCUGCUUUGAACACUCUAAUUUUUUCAAGGUAAAGGUCCUGGUUUCCCACCACGCUAAAUUAAUAACAUGAUGGUUCCCCAGAAGGUAGAGAUUCUACACGCUAGUACAGACUUGUUAGCCUGACCAACGG